AUUAAAUGGUAGGGGAGCAUUGUGUAAGCCUGUGAAGGUGUGUUGUAAAGCAUGCUGGAGGUAUCACAAGAGCGAAUGCUGACGUGAGUAACGACAAUGCGAGUGAAAAGCUCGCACGCCGGAAGACCAAGGGUUCCAGUCCAACGUUAAUCGGGGCUGGGUGAGUCGACCCCUAAGGCGAGGCCGAGAGGCGUAGUCGAUGGGAAAUUGGUUAAUAUUCCAAUACUUCUAUGUAAUGCGAUGAGAGGACGGAGAAGGUUAAGUCAGCCUGGCGUUGGUUGUCCAGGUGGAAGACAGUAGG
rnacentral:rRNA from 1 species